rnacentral:sRNA from 1 species
ACGCAGAUGUCCCUCGGUGUGUCCGUGC